AAUCAACGCUGGCGGCGUGCCUCAGACAUGCAAGUCGAACGCGAAAGUUCCCUUCGGGGAGCAAGUAGAGUGGCGCACGGGUGAGUAACACGUAGGUAAUCUACCUUUGGAUGGGGAAUAACAACCGGAAACGGUUGCUAAUACCGCAUAAUGCAGCGGCACCUAAUGGUGACAGUUGUUAAAGCGGGGGAUCGAAAGACCUCGCGUCUGAAGAGGAGCCUGCGGCGGAUUAGCUAGUUGGUAAGGUAACGGCUUACCAAGGCGAUGAUCCGUAGCCGGCCUGAGAGGGCGGUCGGCCACACUGACACUGACAUACGGGUCAGACUCCUACGGGAGGCAGCAGUCGGGAAUUUUGGGCAAUGGGCGAAAGCCUGACCCAGCAACGCCGCGUGAAGGAUGAAAUCCCUCGGGA
rnacentral:rRNA from 1 species